rnacentral:rRNA from 1 species
AGCUCGCUUAGCAUAUAUUAUUGAUGUUGCAGUUAAAACGUUCGUAGUCGACCUUUGUCUACCAAUGUACAUAAGGUUUUCCGCCUUUUUGUACUGUCGGUAGAUAUUGUAUAAGUACUCCACAUAUUGUUCUAAUAUGUGGUGUGUUUAUACCUUACUGUGAGUGAAUCGGCGUGUUCCACGCAGGCCUUUGCCUUGAACGAUUUACCAUAGUAUAAAUAAAUUAUGACAAUAUUCUUGUGUCUGUUCGAGAAUAUUGUUUAUAAUAAUAAGAACGGUUGAGGGCAUUCGUAUUCAACUGCCAGAGGUGAAAUUCUUUGAUUAGUUGAGGACGAACAAUGGCGAAAGCAUCUGCCAAGGACGUUUCUG